CAUGGUAUUUAUGGCCAUACAUCCUGCAUGGCCCUGACCUAGUCUGAUCUUGGAAGUUAAGCAGGGUUAGCACUUGGUUAGUACUUGGAUGGGUAACCUGCAUUGCUCAAGGAAUGCAAUGA
rnacentral:rRNA from 1 species